ensembl:lncRNA
GGGUGAUUGUCCCAGGUACACUCUGUAUCCGUCCCAGCCAGGGUGAUUGUCCCAGGUCCACUCUGUAUCCGUCCCAGCCAGGGUGAUUGUCCCAGGUCCACUCUGUAUCCGUCCCAGCCAGGUGAUAGUCCCAGGUCCACUCUGUAUCCGUCCCAGCCAGGUGAUAGUCCCAGGUCCACUCUGUAUCCGUCCCAGCCAGGUGAUAGUCCCAGGUACACUCUGUAUCCGUCCCAGCCAGGUGAUUGUCCCAGGUCCACUCUGUAUCCGUCCCAGCCAGGGUGAUUGUCCCAGGUCCACUCUGUAUCCGUCCCAGCCAGGUGAUAGUCCCAGGUCCACUCUGUAUCCGUCCCAGCCAGGUGAUAGUCCCAGGUCCACUCUGUAUCCGUCCC